rnacentral:lncRNA from 1 species
ACGACACAGGAAACCAAUACAACAACAAACUGCAAGAGGGAACGGUGCACUGGAGAACCACGAGACCUUUGCGAAGAAGAAAUUCAAAGAUGGAACGAUGCACUGGUGAACCACGGGACCAAAAAGAAGAAGAAAUUGAAAGAGGGAGAGUUCAACCACCAAAAGAAGAAGAAAUUGAAAGAGGGAGACUAUCGUAACCCUAAUGGAAAUUUGAACCAAAGAUUAAACCUUUUCAAAAAAAAUU